rnacentral:lncRNA from 1 species
AGAGCAGUGGAGGAAUUGACAGAUUUGCAGAGGGAGCCUUCUGUUUAGUGUUCAGUGGGGCUGUGGGUGAUGACUUAAUGCCCUGGCUGUCCACCAUCUUGGGUCUGAAUGAGAGUCCUUACCAAGGAGGCAUUUUCUUCCUGACCAUGCACUUCCUUACAGCUUACUCUUUUAAGACACCAGUGGUUGCUUUCACAACCAAAAUGGAUCUCUCCAAUAUGCAGCAAUGGUAGCAUCUGCCUCUAUACCCUGUGUCUCAGUGGUCUCCAGCACUAACCGUGUCCAAGUUCUUUUACCCAUCUGUUCUCUGCUCUGCAACCCCAACCCUGCCGA